UCUCUGGUGGUUCAGUGGCUAGGACACUGCACUCCCAAUGCAGUGGGCCCAGGUUUGAUCCCAGAGCAAGGAA
rfam:TPA: Bos taurus chromosome 3, whole genome shotgun sequence.